AAAUCGGAGGGGUAGGGGAGCAUUGUGAGCUUUGGCCCGUCGAUACCGCCGGGACGGGCGACUAGCACCCCUUCCUUGCA
rnacentral:sRNA from 1 species